rnacentral:rRNA from 1 species
GAUGAACGCUGGCGGCGUGCCUAAUACAUGCAAGUCGAGCGAAUGGAUUAAGAGCUUGCUCUUAUGAAGUUAGCGGCGGACGGGUGAGUAACACGUGGGUAACCUGCCCAUAAGACUGGGAUAACUCCGGGAAACCGGGGCUAAUACCGGAUAACAUUUUGAACCGCAUGGUUCGAAAUUGAAAGGCGGCUUCGGCUGUCACUUAUGGAUGGACCCGCGUCGCAUUAGCUAGUUGGUGAGGUAACGGCUCACCAAGGCAACGACGGGUAGCCGACCUGAGAGGGUGAUCGGCCACACUGGGACUGCGACACGGCCAGACUCCUACGGGAGGCAGCAGUAGGGAAUCUUCCGCAAUGGACGAAAGUCUGACGGAGCAACGCCGCGUGAGUGAUGAAGGCUUUCGGGUCGUAAAACUCUGUUGUUAGGGAAGAACAAGUGCUAGUUGAAUAAGCUGGCACCUUGACGGUACCUAACCAGAAAGCCACGGCUAACUACGUGCCAGCCGCCGCGGUAA